rnacentral:lncRNA from 1 species
GCACAUUGAUGACUCUUACCAAACUUGUGUCUGUCACAGAGCCUAUUCUGAGAUGGGGCUCCUGUUUAUUGUUCUGAGUCAUCCUUGUGCCAAAGAGAGCCAGGCCUUUGGCAGCCCCGUGUUUCAGCUGCUGGCAAUUAACCCUAUGACAGCUCAGAGUGUGGGUGUUCUGCUGUGCUCCCUUCCUCAGGGGCAGGCUGGAAGGUUCCUGGAAGGGGAUGUGAAAGAUCAUGUUGCAGCAGCAGUCCUGACUUCUGGGACAAUUGCCAUUUGGGAUUUGCUUCUGGGUCACUGCACGGCUCUCCUCCCACCUGUCUCUGACCAGAGUUGGUCUUUGGUUAAAUGGUCAGGUACAGAUUCUCACCUGUUAGCCGGACAAAAGGAUGGAAAUAUAUUCAUAUACCGCUACUUUUAAGAGGCAAAUAGGUGUUUCCUCUAUUUUUUUUUUUUUAAGAAUACAAUAUCUUAAUGACAUUUUAUGUGAUUACUUGAAUGUAUUUCCCACAAACUUAAUUUUAUUCUGAUGGUGGCACUACUGACUGAACGUUUGCUUAUACUUACUUUCAGGUUAAUGGUUUUAAGUCAUUCUUUGCACAUCUGCUAUUACAGCUGUACAUAUGCAGUAAAUGUUAAUAAAUAUUUAUUUUGAUAC